UUGAAACAAUUGUGGUGAGCUGAACUUUAAUGCAUGAUACUUUUGCAUCGUUUUUAACUCGCUCGACUGUGCAUACAUGAAGUCCCUGCGCUUACCUAGGGGUCAUUUUUCAAUAGGUUCUAGACAGCUGUAUCGAUGUUGAGCACUUUUUUCUUAUCGAAAAAAGAGCGUAUACUCUCAUCACUCAACCAGUUUCUUAUAUUCUUUUACUGAAUUACUGUGUGUGUCCGAGAGCUUGUUUGGUAUAGUGGAAUGAUCUCAGAGUUUUGGUAUUGUGAUUUCCGUUGCCCAAUGCAUUCCUCCAAAAUCUACUGUAUCCACCCCUUUGCUGCUUGUUUUUUAUGUGAUAAAAUUGGGAAGUAUUGUACAAUGACUAUUGCGUGCUGAAUAAACCUACUUUGUUGUGAUAAUUAUACUGGUUAAUGUCAAGACAAAACUAACUACCUAGAGAGUUGAGAACUAAGUUGUUGCCUGGCUAGGUAAGCUAGUGAAGGAGGCAUGCACCGGAGUAGAGGUUUCGGAGAUGAGGAAUCCAUCUCAUAUCUUGGCAUGCUUUGCAUUUAGCAACGUAAUCCAUAAAUUGUUCUAAAUUGUUAAACCAUAUGAUUCAGGGACUAGUUUUUAUUUGAACAUCUCAUACCUGCCAUGCUUUGCAUUUAACAACACAAUCCAUAAAUUGUUCUGGUCUACUGUGUUGUAUCUCAACCAUUUCAACAAUUUUUUGUGCACAAAUUAAUCUUCUUAGAACAUAUAUAAUUUUAGGCCAUUCUACUCAAUGUAUUCUCCUUCGCUUUGGAUUAACUUGCCACAUCUUCUUCCUUAUUUUAUCAAAAUGUCUUUACACCUUUUGGCAUAGGCUACAGGGACAUUACGUUAGUAGGAUAGUGUCAAUGACACUUUAUACGUGUCCCUCCCCCCACCCCCAAAAAUAAAAAAGACAGAUAUUGUUUCCUGCCGGUUGCUAAUCUUCUCCACUCUAUCUAUUUAUCACGGCAGCCAUGUAAUUGCACUUCUUCUUAGUGGUUCUUUUAGGCUUCCUCUUACUAUAUCCUUUCAAUCUUCUCUGGUCACACUUUUCAUGUCCAUCAAUCUGAUUUUGUAUAAUU
rnacentral:lncRNA from 1 species